UACGGAGGGUGCAAGCGUUAAUCGGAAUUACUGGGCGUAAAGCGUGCGUAGGUGGUUCGUUAAGUCCGUUGUGAAAGCCCCGAGCUCAACUUGGGAAUUGCAGUGGAUACUGGCGAGCUGGAGUGCGGUAGAGGAAGGUGGAAUUCCCGGUGUAGCGGUGAAAUGCGUAGAGAUCGGGAGGAACACCAGUGGCGAAGGCGGCCUUCUGGACCAGCACUGACACUCAGGCGCGAAGGCGUGGGGAGCGAACGGG
rnacentral:rRNA from 1 species